GAGAUCGGGAUAACACCUGGAAACAGAUGCUAAUACCGGAUAACAACAGAUGAUGCCUAUCAACUGUUUAAAAGAUGGUUCUGCUAUCACUCUUGGAUGGACCUGCGGUGCAUUAGCUAGUUGGUAGGGUAACGGCCUACCAAGGCGAUGAUGCAUAGCCGAGUUGAGAGACUGAUCGGCCACAUUGGGACUGAGACACGGCCCAAACUCCUACGGGAGGCAGCAGCA
rnacentral:rRNA from 1 species